AGGAUUAUGGCCACUGCGGUCUGACCCUAAUCGUGAGACUGAUGACACUUUGGUGCUCUCUUUUGUGGGCCAGACAAGAUCACUUCAGCAUCGGUGAGGUUGGUCUCUCAAGAACCCAAAGCUCUGGUCAGUGAAUGGAAGGAGCCUCAGGCCAAGAACAUCAGUGUGGCCUCCUGCAAUAGCAGCCAGGUGGUGGUGGCUGUGGGCAGGGCCCUCUACUAUCUGCA
rnacentral:sRNA from 1 species